UCUCCGUUGGUGAACAGCGGAGGGAUCAUUACAGGACUCGCAAGACUCCUACAGCCCUGUGAACUUAACUAUAAGCACGUUGCUUCGGCGGGUGUCUCGGAGGGGGUUCUCCCUCCCCGAGACGCUAAACCCGCCGGCAGCCUACUAUACUCUGUCUCUUUGCGUUGGCAUCUCGAGUACAAUCAAACAAGUUAAAACUUUCAACAACGGAUCUCUUGGUUCUG
rnacentral:misc_RNA from 1 species